GCGGCUGUGGCGCACGCCGCCGCCGGUGCUGGCGGCGCGGCGCUUCGUGGUGCGGGUCGGUGCCUGGGUCCACCUCCUGGCGGCCGUG
rnacentral:tRNA from 1 species